GUCAACGACCAUACCAUGUUGAACACACCGGUUCUCGUCCGAUCACCGAAGUUAAGCAACAUCGGGCAUGGCUCAUCCCUUAUUUUUAUGCUUUUGCCGACCUGCUACGAUGCACCGUGUGGGAGUGCGUAGCUAAGUGCAAGGCUUGGACAUCAGAGAGCGCGAUGGAGUAGGAGAAGAACGCUCGAAUAUCCUUUUUGUUGCUAGGGAUGCUGGCGCGAGGGUGGUUCUUGAUGCGUGCGAGCGCCGGUGACCACCAUAGGUGGGUGACCACUUGGGAAAACCAUGUGUCGUUGGCA
rnacentral:rRNA from 1 species